GACGAACGCUGGCGGCGUGCUUAACACAUGCAAGUCGAACGGAAAGGCCUGCUUUCCCUUGUGGAUUGCGGGUACUCGAGUGGCGAACGGGUGAGUAACACGUGAGUGAUCUGCCCCCAACUUGGGUAUAAGCCUGGGAAACUGGGUCUAAUUCCCGAUAGGACUGCAGGGUGGUGCCUGUGGUGGAAAACGAUUUUCUAGUGGUUGGGGAUGAGCUCGCGGCCUAUCAGCUUGUUGGUGGGGUAAUGGCCUACCAAGGCGGCGACGGGUAGCCGGCCUGAGAGGGUGGACGGCCACAGUGGGACAGAGAUACGGCCCAGACGCCUACGGGAGGCAGCAGUGGGGAAUAUUGCACAAUGGGCGGAAGCCUGAUGCAGCGACGCAGCGUGGGGGAUGACGGCAUUCGGGUUGUAAACUCCUUGCGACCGCGAGGAAGCCACCUGGUUGGAAGGGUGGUGACGGUAGUGGUAGAAGAAGCACCGGCUAACUACGUG
rnacentral:rRNA from 1 species